rnacentral:rRNA from 1 species
CACUUUAUAUGUGCGAUGUCGUACUUUUUGUAGAACGGUCCAGCGAGUUAUUGUGUAUGGCGAGGUUAAGUAUUACGUAAGGUACGGAGCCGAAGCGAAAGCGAGUCUGAAAAGGGCGAUAUAAGUCAUGCAUAAUAGACCCGAAACUGAGUGACCUAUCCAUGAGCAGGAUGAAGCUAGAGUAAAAUCUAGUGGAGGUCCGAACUGAUUGUCGUUAAAAAGGCACCGGAUGACUUGUGGAUAGCGGAGAAAUUCCAAUCGAACUCAGAGAUAGCUGGUUCUCCUCGAAAUAGCUUUAGGGCUAGCCUUGAGGGAAUGCAUAUGGGGGUAGAGCACUGAAUGAGGUAGGGGCCUAACCAGGUUACCAAACUCUAUCAAACUCCGAAUACCAUAUGUAAAUACUCAGGAGUCAGACUGCGGGAGCUAAGUUCCGUGGUCAAAAGGAAAACAGUCCAGAUCGUCAAUUAAGGUCCCAAAGAUAUAGCUAAGUGGAAAACGAUGUGAUUUUGCAUAAACAACCAGGAUGUUGGCUCAGAAGCAGCCAUUCAUUCAAAGAGUGCGUAAUAGCUCACUGGUCGAGUGAAGUUGCGCGGAAAAUUACCGGGGCUAAGCUAUACACCGAAAUUGCGGAUUUACAUUUGAAAGAUAAUGUGAGUGGUAGAGGAGCAUUCUGUAGUAGGAAGAAGCAUGACCGUAAGGACAUGUGGACGAAGCAGAAGAGAGAAUGCUGGAAUAAGUAGCGAGAGGAUGGUGAGAAUCCAUCCCGUCGAAAAUCUAAGGUUUCCCAGGGAAGGUUCGUCCGCCUGGGGUAAGUCGGGACCUAAGGAGAGGCCGAAAGGCGUAUCUGAUGGAUAGCAGGUUGAAAUUCCUGCACUACGAAUAUACUUAAAAGAUUCAAGGGACGCAGAAGUGGAAGAUAACCAAGUAAGAGGAAAAGCUUGGCUCGCAAGAGGGAGUGAAAAUUAAAAGUAACGAAGUAUCAAGAAGCACGCUGACGAGAAAAGCUUGAAGAUAUUGUAUAUAAGUACCCGUACCGCAAACCGACACAGGUAGAUGAGGAGAGGAUCCUAAGACGAGCGGGAGAAGCAUUGUUAAGGAACUCGGCAAAUUAACCCCGUAACUUCGGAAUAAGGGGUGCUGAUGUAACAGUCAGUCGCAGAGAAAAGGCCCAAGCAACUGUUUAACAAAAACAUAGGUUUCUGCUAAAUCGAAAGAUGAAGUAUAGGAGCUGACGCCUGCCCAGUGCUGGAAGGUUAAGAGGAGAGGUUAGCGUAAGCGAAGCUUUGAAUUUAAGCCCCAGUGAACGGCGGCCGUAACUAUAACGGUCCUAAGGUAGCGAAAUUCCUUGUCAGGUAAGUUCUGACCCGCACGAAAGGCGUAAUGAUUUGGGCGCUGUCUCGACAAUGUCCCCGGCGAAAUUGUAGUACUAGUGAAGAUGCUAGUUACCUGCGAUAAGACAGAAAGACCCCAUGGAGCUUUACUGCAGUUUGAUACUGGGUUUCGAUGAUUUAUGUACAGGAUAGUUGGGAGACUAUGAAAGAGAGGCGUCAGCUUCUCCGGAGUCGUUGUUGGGAUACCAACCUUAAGUUAUUGAAAUUCUAACUUGUAAUCGUAAACCGGUUAGAGGACAAUGUCAGACGGGCAGUUUGACUGGGGCGGUCGCCUCCUAAAGAGUAACG